rnacentral:rRNA from 1 species
AUUGAAUGCUGGCGGCAUGCCUUACACAUGCAAGUCGAACGGCAGCACGGGAGCAAUCCUGGUGGCGAGUGGCGAACGGGUGAGUAAUAUAUCGGAACGUGCCCAGUCGUGGGGGAUAACGUAGCGAAAGCUACGCUAAUACCGCAUACGAUCUAUGGAUGAAAGCGGGGGAUCGCAAGACCUCGCGCGAUUGGAGCGGCCGAUAUCAGAUUAGGUAGUUGGUGAGGUAAAGGCUCACCAAGCCGACGAUCUGUAGCUGGUCUGAGAGGACGACCAGCCACACUGGGACUGAGACCCGGCCCAGACUCCUACGGGAGGCAGCAGUGGGGAAUUUUUGGACAAGUGGCGCAAGCCUGAUCCAGCAAUGCCGCGUGCAGGAUGAAGGCC